UACGUAGGGUGCAAGCGUUAAUCGGAAUUACUGGGCGUAAAGGGCGUGUAGGCGGGACGGUAAGUCGGGCGUGAAAUCCCUAGGCUCAACCUAGGAACUGCACUCGAAACUACCAUUCUUGAGUGUCGGAGAGGAAAGCGGAAUUCCUGGUGUAGAGGUGAAAUUCGUAGAUAUCAGGAGGAACACCAGUGGCGAAGGCGGCUUUCUGGACGAUAACUGACGCUGAGACGCGAAAGCGUGGGGAGCAAACAGG
rnacentral:rRNA from 1 species